CCUACGGGUGGCAGCAGUGGGGAAUAUUGGUCAAUGGACGAGAGUCUGAACCAGCCAAGUAGCGUGAAGGAUGACUGCCCUAUGGGUUGUAAACUUCUUUUAUAUGGGAAUAAAACGUUCCACGUGUGGGAUUUUGUAUGUACCAUAUGAAUAAGGAUCGGCUAACUCCGUGCCAGCAGCCGCGGUAAUACGGAGGAUCCGAGCGUUAUCCGGAUUUAUUGGGUUUAAAGGGAGCGUAGGUGGAUUGUUAAGUCAGUUGUGAAAGUUUGCGGCUCAACCGUAAAAUUGCAGUUGAAACUGGCAGUCUUGAGUACAGUAGAGGUGGGCGGAAUUCGUGGUGUAGCGGUGAAAUGCUUAGAUAUCACGAAGAACUCCGAUUGCGAAGGCAGUUCACUGGACUGCAACUGACACUGAGGCUCGAAAGUGUGGGUAUCAAACAGGAUUAGAUACCCUAGUAGUC
rnacentral:rRNA from 1 species